ACCCUACUCCCCAUGACUGCCGUAUUCCUUGUAGAAUGUUUCGAACCAGGUUUAUUGAUGGCAGCGGACAUUGUGAGACUCACCACAAAGGACAAAAUGCUGGCACAAGUUUUGAACUGGGUAUGGCGAGGUUGGCCGAACAAGAUGGAAGGGGAGGAAUUCAAACCUUUCAAAGAUAGACAGCUAGAGCUGUCAGCAUCAAGGGAGUGUUUGUUAUGGUGAGACAGGGUGGUGGUACCGCAACCAUUAAGGGAAAGAAUUCUGGGAUUACUAUGAAGGGCACCCCGGGAUAGUAAAAAUGGAGGCCCUAGCAAGGAGUUACACCUGGUGGCCGGGAAUAGACAAAGACAUUGAGACCUGGGUCGCCACAUGUUCACCAUGCUGGCCCCUCUCUCAGCAACCCUCCUAAAGUGGGAAAAGCCUGCAGCACCAUGGGGUCGCAUACACAUAGAGUUUGCAGGACCCUACCAGGGACAAAUGUUCUUAAUCGUGGUCGACACUUAUUCUAAAUGGUUGGAAGUGGUGAUCAUGAAAUCCACAACAACCGAGGCAAUGCUCCGAGCCCUGUGGAAAAUAUUCACCACCCACAAGCUACCUCAUGUGCUGGUUUCGGACAAUGGACCGCAAUUCACAGCACAGCAAUUCGAAAGCUUCCUCACCCAUCUGGGAAUCCGGCAUGCCCUUUCGGCACCAGCUCAUCUGGCGGCGAACGGGAAGCAGAAAGGAUGGUCUGAACGACCAAAGAACUUCUUAAAAAUUAGCCCCCGGUGACUGGCAAGAAAAAAUUUGACAAAUGGCUGCUAACCCAACACAUAACACCAAGCACAGCAACAAACAGAAGCCCAGCAGAAAUGCUGAUGAACAAAAGUUAAGGUCCACCCUGGACAGAAUCCAUGCUAACUAUACAAAUGACACCCCUCUAGAUUCCACAGGAAAGUGCAGAACAUUCACACCAGGAGACACAGUACAUGCACGCAACUACACAGGAGGGGAAACCUGGGUCCCGGGAAAAAUAAUCGCAAGUACCAGACCCAGAUCAUACAGACUGGAGAUAGAAGGGGGAAGAACAUGGAAUAGGCACAUAGACCAACUGCGGGGUCACAUAGUUCAACCCCCACUUGAAGCCGAGCAACACAAAACACCUCCGGCAACAACGACACCCCAGAAAGUAGAAACCCCACAAAAACACAGAUUAGCAAGGGAAACCUUGAAUGAAACAGUGAAGGACUUAGCUGUGGGGGGAGGAGUCCAGUGUAGUACUUCUGAGGCCUCGAGCUCAACAGAAACUGCCACGCCCCUGGAAACUUUUGAGGUGUUUCCAAGGGCGGAGUCUGGAGUAGCAGUGGACCUGUCUGUUCAGGCUGCCACCUCAGGAACAACUGAACCACGCAGGCCCAGUCGCACCCACAGAAGCCCUGCCUACCUGAAGGACUACAUCUGCCGUGGGCUCAGGAGAAAGACCCAAAAGCCCUUGACAGAAGUGGUGAAAUUUGGACACUUCUUUGUGCUGAAUUGCACAACAAACAGCAGCAGUAGCUGUGAUAUUCAGGAGAGGUCGUCUCAAAAGUAUGAUUAUAAUGACUUCAGCCCCACCUGGAAAACGUUCACUUUCAUUGUUGUUUACUGGUCACUCCGUGCAUCGUGUGUUGUGACCUGUAAUAAUGAAUCCAACUCUUGGGAAACAAUCGUCACCGUUUACCAACCUCCAGAGAAGAUUGAGCUGGGUCUAGUACCAGAAAUGGAAGUGGGCAAGCAGUAUAAUCUAACAUGCCGGGUUUCUGGUGUAGCCCCCAUCCGGAACCUCACCGUGACCUUGCUGAAGGGGAAGAGCAACUUCUGGUAA
rnacentral:lncRNA from 1 species